CCAAUAGCGUAUAUUAAAGUUGUUGCAGUUAAAAAGCUCGUAGUUGAAUUUCGGGAUUAGUACGUUGGUCGUGCCUUCGGUACGUACUGGUGUUACUGAUUCCUACCUUCUGACGAACCUUCAUGUCAUUAAUUUGGUGUGGCGGGGAAUCAGGACUGUUACUUUGAAAAAAUUAGAGUGUUUAAAGCAGGCUCGCGCUUGAAUACAUUAGCAUGGAAUAAUGAAAUAGGACGUUGACCCUAUUUUGUUGGUUUCUAGGAUUGACGUAAUGAUUAAUAGGGAUAGUUGGGGGCAUUAGUAUUCAAUUGUCAGAGGUGAAAUUCUUGGAUUUAUUGAGGACUAACUACUGCGAAAGCAUUUGCCAAGGAUGUUUUCAUUAAUCAAGAACGAAAGUUAGGGGAUCGAAGACGAUCAGAUACCGUCGUAGUCUUAACCAUAAACUAUGCCGACUAGGGAUCGGAUGAUGUUAUUUUUAAUGACUCAUUCGGCGCCUUACG
rnacentral:rRNA from 1 species